rnacentral:rRNA from 1 species
AUUGAACGCUGGCGGCAUGCCUUACACAUGCAAGUCGAACGGCAGCACGGGAGCAAUCCUGGUGGCGAGUGGCGAACGGGUGAGUAAUAUAUCGGAACGUGCCCAGUAGUGGGGGAUAACCCGGCGAAAGCCGGACUAAUACCGCAUACGACCUACGGGUGAAAGCGGGGGAUCGCAAGACCUCGCGCUAUCGGAGCGGCCGAUGUCAGAUUAGCUAGUUGGUGGGGUAAAGGCCUACCAAGGCGACGAUCUGUAGCUGGUCUGAGAGGACGACCAGCCACACUGGGACUGAGACACGGCCCAGACUCCUACGGGAGGCAGCAGUGGGGAAUUUUGGACAAUGGGCGCAAGCCUGAUCCAGCCAUGCCGCGUGCGGGAAGAAGGCCUUCGGGUUGUAAACCGCUUUUGUCAGGGAAGAAACGCUCCGGGCUAAUACCACGGAGUAAUGACGGUACCUGAAGAAUAAGCACCGGCUAACUACGUG